CAUGUGGUUUAAUUCGAAAGCAACGCGAAGAACCUUAUCAGGUCUUGACAUCCCGAUGCUAUUUCUAGAGAUAGAAAGUUACUUCGGUACAUCGGUGACAGGUGGUGCAUGGUUGUCGUCAGCUCGUGUCGUGAGAUGUUGGGUUAAGUCCCGCAACGAGCGCAACCCCUAUUGUUAGUUGCCAUCAUUCAGUUGGGCACUCUAGCGAGACUGCCGGUAAUAAACCGGAGGAAGUGGGGAUGACGUCAAAUCAUCAUGCCCCUUAUGACCUGGGCUACACACGUGCUACAAUGGUUGGUACAACGAGUUGCGAGUCGGUGACGGCGAGCUAAUCUCUUAAAGCCAAUCUCAGUUCGGAUUGUAGGCUGCAACUCGCCUACAUGAAGUCGGAAUCGCUAGUAAUCGCGGAUCAGCACGCCGCGGUGAAUACGUUCCCGGGCCUU
rnacentral:rRNA from 1 species